GGGGCUGAUACUGGAUUCGACAGUGAAGUAUUCUGAUCAGUAAGCAUGCCGGGGAAUGACGAUUCACUCCGUGCCGCAAGGCAUCCUUCGGGAUAAAAAAUGAUCAUCAAACCAUUAAUUGGCGAAAACAAUUUUGCCUUAGCUGCCUAAUUCUAGGAAUUAGAAAGCUUUUGUGCCUUCAGGUUGAUGUCUGCUACAAAUCUGACCGCACAUAAACGAAAUGCAGAACCGUGAUUGAGACUGUCUUGACUCGAUCAUUAAAUAAAGAGAAUCGGAGAUGAAAUGAGCUGUUGUCGAGCUUAUGAAUUUCUUAAAUUUUAAAAUCGAUAACUAAGCAUGUAGAAGGCUUUUUAGAGCUUUUUCUGGACCGGGGUUCGACUCCCCGCAGCUCCACAA
rnacentral:tmRNA from 1 species